rnacentral:rRNA from 1 species
CCUACGGGAGGCAGCAGUAGGGAAUCUUCCACAAUGGGCGCAAGCCUGAUGGAGCAACGCAGCGUGGGUGAAGAAGGUCUUCGGAUCGUAAAACCCUGUUGUUAGAGGAGAAAGUGCGUGAGAGUAACUGUUCACGUUUCGACGGUAUCUAACCAGAAAGCCACGGCUAACUACGUGCCAGCAGGCGCGGUAAUACGUAGGUGGCAAGCGUUAUCCGGAUUUGUUGGGCGUAAAGGGAACGCAGACGGUCGUUUAAGUCUGAUGUGAAAGCGUUCGGCUUAACCGGAGUAGUGCAUUGGAAACUGGGAGACUUGAGUGCAGUAGAGGAGAGCGGAACUCGAUGUGUAGCGGUGAAAUGCGUAGAUAUAUGGAAGAACACCAGUGGCGAAAGCGGCUUUCUGGACUGUAACUGACGCUGAGGUUCGAAAGCGUGGGUAGCAAACAGGAUUAGAUACCCCUGUAGUC